UCUGUGUCUGCACGUGGAGGUGCUCACAGCUGAUGGCAUUUGCAUACACAUGGGUCACUCUGCGCUGCCGAUGACACUUCUUCCACCCUGGGGACGAGUGGAGCGAUGGGGCAGCUAGGAGCAGCCCAGCUCCCCUGCCUGCAGGGAGUAGGGGGACUCCAGCCCACCGCCCGUGUGCUGCCCACCCUGCCAUUGCCCAAAGUUGGCUGGGGUGUGUCCUCCAGCUUCACACCCUCAGUGCUGGGGUGCCAAGCGUGCAUACUGGGAAACACAGGCAGUGGUGGAACCGUCCCUCCUGGAGCAAGGCAGUCCUUUCUCUGCUCCGUGGCCGUGGCCGAGGGGGUGUUUGGCUGCAGGCUGAGCAAUUAGCAUUCAAUUACAGAAGCCAGAAGGAUUGGAACGGUUCUCCUUAUGGUUUUCUCUCAACCAAAGCCAACUUGUCUGAAUUAUGACCUAGGAAGCAUCACAUUAGAGGCAAGCAAGGUCUCCAAAACACAGACCUCACAGAAGAUGUUCCCCAGUGAUGCAGGGUUGCAAGCUGCCUGGACUACGUGUGGGGGGCCGUGACGAAUGGCUCAGAAAAGAGGGUGCUGUGAGAAACUGGAGCUGCGCUGGCGGAGUGGGUGAGGGACUGAGGAACCAGCACAGAGUCCAGGGCUGGUGGCACUGUGAUGCACAGGGAGCUGUGUGCCAGGUGCUGGAACCGCUGUGCUGCUCACCCCUGGGAAGGCCAAGAUGCACGUGGGACGAUCAGAGUGAGGGCUGCACGUGGGAUGGCUCUGCUCGCUGUGACAUCCCAGCCCUGCUCUCGGUGCUGCGGGCCCAUUGCCGGUGUGCUCAGUGCCUGCAGGAGGACAUGAGGAGAGAGAGCAUCCCUGAUGUGCAUCCUGCACCUUGCCCACCCAAGGCCAGAGCAGCUCCACCAGCAGCUCCUCACUGACCCUUCCUCCACCCCGCUCCCUCAGGCCCAGCUCUCCAUCCUCAGCCCCAGGGACGGAUCCUGCUGUCCCGCUGCCCACAGCAGGGCCCAGUCGGCAGCCUGCAGGGGACGGGCCUGGCAGGCUCCAGCAGCAGGAGGGCUCAUGCAUUACAAUCCAGUACAAUCUGUCCCCCUUCCCACUGCCCAGCGGUAGGGGAGACGGUUACUGUUUAAUCCCAUUUGACAGCUCUUUCAUCAUCUGCCUGCCUCCCUCCAGCUUCCCCAUGGUUCCUCCAAGGCUCCUUUGUGGCCAUAAUCAAAGCCUGGCAGAGAUGAGCCACGGUGCACAGGAGGAUGGCUCGGCACACACUUCGAGCGCCUCCUGGACUGACCAGACAACCUGCAGGGUCUGUACCAAGGCAUCUCCUCGCUCAGGAGUGGCAGAGCUGGGAGGUACGGGAACCUCCCCAAAAGGUACCGCAGCGCUGCUCCUGCAGCCCACGGCAGGCAGCCCAAGUGCCAUGGCCACGGGUAGGAUGGAAGCAGGGCCCCGUGCUUCCCAGGGAGGGAGUCUGCACGCCCGUGGGUUAUCGCCUGCAUCAGGGCUCGGUGACGGCGCUUCCCCAGAACACAUGUUCCCUCGUAAACCCGGGAUCCGCUUAUCUCAAAGGGCACAUCCGACAAUUAGCUUAUCUGCUGUGAAAGUGAGGAACAGCUUUAGUUAUCUGCCCGGCUUCCGCAAGCCAAAAAAAAAAAAAAAAAAAGGAGAAAGAGCCCCUGGAAGGACGAGGCGCAUACACAGCAUCCUAUAAAUAAAGUGAGUGCGCUGUGAGCGCGCUGCAGACAGGCUCCAUGUGCUCGCGGUGGGAGCUGGAGAUGCCCCCGAGUUUUAAGGACGCUUGGUGCUCCCUGGUGUCAAAUGCUGCCUUCGGCUGCUGGCAGCUUUGCCAAACCAUUCCAGGCUGGGUGGUAAUAUUUCAGGGUGGGUUGCGGCUUCUUAUUAAAUUUGGGGGGGGGGAAAGUCUCAUCCAGAGAGCCAGGCUGUUUCCAAGAGCGAGGGUACAAGGAGAUAAAGCAUUUGUCCUUAUUUUGUUUUAAAAUUCUGCCUUUUGAAGCAGGAGCUUGAAAUUUGGCAAGUAGGGAAGGGAGAGAGGCUGAGAUUUGUCUCGUGUCCCUGGAAUAUACUCAAAUUUGACCAAGUCAGAACACUUUAUUUGGGAAAAAAUGCACUUAGCACACACUGGCCGUGGAAGUGGGCCCUGCUCGGAGGUGCAGGUCCCCCCCUGCAUUUCCCACCCAGGUGGCACCAGGGGACAUCUGGGGAUGCUGGUGCUUCUUCCCCGGUGCUGCUCUUUGCUCGGCUCCCACAGCAGCAUGGCAGUGCUGGCUUCCCAGAUCAAUCUUCAUGGCUGCAUGGCGUGGCUGCGGCUGUGCUUGCUGAGCCCAUAGGACCUGAUGGAAGCCGUGGCUUCCCAAGUGAUUGGCCUGAGGCAGCCUGCAGACAGGUGAGCUCCCUUCUGCUGUGUUGUGUCCGAUGUCAUUUUGAGUGCCCCACAGCUUUUUUUCUCUUGUCCCUCAACAAACCAGCCUCAAUCACACAUGUAUAAUGAAGCAGAGAGUUUAACCAGCCCUGCGGUGAAGCCAUGCUCUGCGCUGAUGGACACUGGCAGUGCAAACUGCCCAAACCCAGGGUGCUGCAGGAAGGGACACUGUGAGUGUGGCCCCUCUGCUGCUGCCCCCCGUGCUCUACUCCCUGUCCCCAUCACUGCCACGGGCACAGAGAUGCUGGCAGGAGCAGGAGCCGGGGCUGCCGGGCAGCUCCUUGGCAGUGAUAGGCACCCAGCAAUGAAAGGAAAUGGCCAACAGAUGCUGGAGAGAAGGCUGCCAGAGUGCUCACGAUGGUUCGGAGCCCAACCGUAGGGCUGUAUGAUGCUGGUUGGCAUCACUCACCUCCCUGCCAGCACUGCCACCACUUUCCGGUGCCUGCUGGCCCGGCUGGCACCUUCCUGCCUGCAGGGCAGGGACCUUGCUGCUCUGCCCAGCCUGGAGCACCACCAACACCAACCACCAACACCAGCUGUUGGACAAGUCACUUUGUUGCAGGUCACUGCUUGAGGACUCCUUCCCGUGGAGACCUCAGGAGUGCAGUGGUGCAGUGCCCGGCCUGGGGGGAGGCAGGGAUGGCUCUGGGGCCGCUGCUAUCUGCUUAUGGUCACUGCCCACUGCCCCCUGGCCCAGCACUUUCUCCCUGCUCUCCCCAAAAUGCUCAUGAAGAAACAAGUAUCUUGUUUGCAAACUAAAAACUAGAAAUGAUUUAUAUGUUUAUAAGCCCAGCUCUGGCUCUCUUUAUUUUGGCAAAGGGAUUGUUUGCAUCUUUGCAGAAUUCCUUCACCCAAACCACUCAUUAGAUAUGAAUUUCAAAACAGCCGGAGGGAGCGGGUGACUCAGGGGAAUUAGCAAAUGGCUUCCCAAAGCCUUUUACGUCAAGGCCAGCAGCUCCAUGCCAGUGGCCCAGGAGAUGCUGUCACUCGACAUCUGGUCAGCGCCCUCAAGCCGGAGGGUGCGUUAAGAAGCUGGGCCUCCACUGCCCCGCUGGCAGGUGGCUCAGCUGGGGAAGCAGUGCAAAGAGAAGGGCUGAGAGCCACGGAUUCCAUCGCCAGGGCUUCAGUGACCUCCAGGCAGCGGGGCCACGGGUGCUGCUCGGGGCGGAGAUGCAUUCCCCAACAACCUUGCACCCUAUUGCAGGGGACUUCUGGAGGAGCGGGCCUGCAGCCUGGGCAUGGGAUAGCAAACGGGAGCUGUGAGGGCUGCGGGGAAGCGUAAGGGCUGUGUUGCUGGGGAGCAAGCAGGCUCAGCCCGUGCCCUGAGCCGUGGGGCUGAGCUCCUCCCCGAGCACUGCUUGGCCCUCGUCUUGCGAGCAGAGAUGAAAAUAAACUCAGCUGAAGGGUCCUUUAACUUUCUCUACUCGAGUGAAAAUAAAUGCGAUUUCCCUGCCACCCGGCCCUGUAAAUUCCCCUCGCUGUGAAAUAUCUUCCAGAUAUAGUAAAGAGACGGCUUUCGGCUAUUUUUUUAAACAUCUUUAACUGCUGUAUAUAUUUCCAGGGAGACGUAAUAAGCGCUGCAGCUAAUUUAUCUGCAUGUACUGUAAAUAUUUUCAGGAGAUAGCAGAAAGGAUUUCAAACACAUGGCUGGAGGACUGGCACACAGCGGACGCUGGGUGGGAAGGAUGCCGUUAACCCUCCGUUUGCCGCUGCCCUCCGCAGGCCGUCCCCGUGCCCCCGGCUGCAUGCGGGGGUACCCACAGAGGGGCAGAGGCUCUGCAUCCCCCUGCCCCCCCCUCCAGAUGAUACCUGCCCCAGCCUGGGCGGUGCUGGGAGAUACGGUGCUGAUGCUGCCAGCAUGGGGUGGGCUCUGGGAAGGCAGCGGCUGCGGUUUUAACCUCUGUGAGUGCCCAGCAGUGCUUGCAACCCUGUGUUCCUGCAGGGCUCCCAGCCCCACGGGAGAGGCCAGGGUGGCUGGAUAGCACUGAAGUGGGCUGUCAGCCUUCCAGAGGAUGCGUUUCAUGCUGUUCCUCCUGACUUCAGACUGUUCUCUUCCUAACGGGCUGACCACAUCACUGCUAUGUGCCACCACUGCACGUCCAGCUCUGUCUGCAGCACUGUAAUCCGCAGUGGAGAGAAGUCCCAGGGGCAGGUGAGGGCAGGGCAUGUCACAGGGCAGAUAUGGGGUGAGCGGCGGGGCGCUGGGUGGGAGAGCAGAGCCGUGUCAUCCUGAGAGCCUGUGCCUGGUGUCAGCAGGAAGCAUCACAAAAAGCGCAUUCAAUUCAAUGCCUGCUAUGGAGCUAACAGCCCCGUGUCACGAACAGCCUGUCCUGAAGCUGUGGGUCAUUGCAGUGCAAUGCUCACCCCUCAAAGGGGCUGCACUCUGGCCAGCUGGGCAAAUCUGCUGCAGGCAUCCCUUGCUGCUAUGGACACCCCUUGCUGCUGGUUAUCCUUCAUUGCUAUGGACUCCCCUUGCUUCUACGGACACCCCUCACUGCUGCCCCAUCCGUGGGGGAAGCUGGGGAGACCCUGGCCCUGCAUCCUCAGAUCUGGUGGCUGUGUGUCCCCUGCCACAUCGCUGCCCACUGCUCCUGCUGCAGCUGCACAGUGUGGCUCUGGGCUCUACUGCGGCUUUCUGCUUCCACCGAAGGAACCGUUCUCUCAGCUCAUGAUUUGUUCCCAAGCCUCAUUUUUGCAUGAUGCAAUUUAACACAGAGCAAGGACACAAAGUACCUGUUGGCUUGGAGCCCACCCUAAAAGCCGUAAAAAGGAGAUAAAAGCCUUUAAAUGCUAAGCCUGUCCGAGGAGACAA